CUACGGGAGGCAGCAGUAGGGAAUCUUCCACAAUGGACGCAAGUCUGAUGGAGCAACGCCGCGUGAGUGAAGAAGGGUUUCGGCUCGUAAAGCUCUGUUGGUAGUGAAGAAAGAUAGAGGUAGUAACUGGCCUUUAUUUGACGGUAAUUACCUAGAAAGUCACGGCUAACUACGUGCCAGCAGCCGCGGUAAUACGUAGGUGGCAAGCGUUGUCCGGAUUUAUUGGGCGUAAAGCGAGUGCAGGCGGUUCAAUAAGUCUGAUGUGAAAGCCUUCGGCUCAACCGGAGAAUUGCAUCAGAAACUGUUGAACUUGAGUGCAGAAGAGGAGAGUGGAACUCCAUGUGUAGCGGUGGAAUGCGUAGAUAUAUGGAAGAACACCAGUGGCGAAGGCGGCUCUCUGGUCUGCAACUGACGCUGAGGCUCGAAAGCAUGGGUAGCGAACAGGAUUAGAUACCCUGGUAGUCCAU
rnacentral:rRNA from 1 species